UCAGACGAUGCGUCAUGCAUAUCAAUAAGCGGAGGAAAAGAAACUAACAAGGAUUCCCCUAGUAACGGCGAGUGAAGCGGGAAGAGCUCAAAUUUGAAAUCUUAAAGGGUUUCCCUUUACGAAUUGUAGUUUAAAGAAGUGUUUUCUGUUGAGGUUUUGGUAAAAGUUCUUUGGAAUAGGACAUCAUAGAGGGUGAGAAUCCCGUAUUUGACCUUUACUUUCAACUUUGUGAUACACUUUCAAAGAGUCGGAUUGUUUGGGAAUGCAGUCCAAAAUGGGUGGUAAAUUUCAUCUAAAGCUAAAUAUUGGCGAGAGACCGAUAGCGAACAAGUACCGUGAGGGAAAGAUGAAAAGAACUUUGAAAAGAGAGUUAAACAGUACGUGAAAUUGUCAAAAGGGAAGCGUUUGACACCAGUGUUGUUUUUCUGAAAAUCAAUUAAAGAACUGUUUAUGCUAAGUUGUUUAGACUUUAUCAGCUAUCUGUUUAGUUUUGAGCUUUUCUUUAAUGCACUUUUCAGUUAACAAGUCAACAUCAAUUUCUUUUGCUGUAAAAAAGCUUGAGGAAGGUGGCUUGAGAUUCGUCUUAAGUGUUUAUAGCCUCUUGCCUAUGCAGUCGGAGAGAUUGAGGUCUGCAGCGUAGAUCCUUCGGGGCUAAAUGCAUUUGUGCUAAGUUAUAGCAUUUUAUAGACAACUUGUUGACUAUGAUUUGUCUUGUAGCUUACUCGCUUAUGUUAUUUUACCUACGCUUAGGAUGUUGAAUCUGUGCGAGACUAC
rnacentral:rRNA from 1 species